AUACAGCUUACGAGUCCUGAAUAGAACGAAACGUGCGUCCUGGAU
rnacentral:hammerhead_ribozyme from 1 species